rnacentral:misc_RNA from 1 species
AGAGAUUGGCGAAAGCCUUCAACUACCCACACACACCUGUGAACCGUUCGGGACGAGGAUUAGCCUUGUGAAACCGUCUUCGGACGAGGAUUAGCUCUGCGAAACCGUCCCUCUUUACAAAACGUCUUAUACAGUGUCAUGAACGUAGUCUUAUUUUAACAAAUA